UACGGGGGGAGCAAGCGUUGUUCGGAUUUACUGGGCGUAAAGGGCGCGUAGGCGGCCAGCACAAGUCAGUUGUGAAAUCUCCGAGCUUAACUCGGAAAGGUCAACUGAUACUGUGCGGCUAGAGUGCGGAAGGGGCAACUGGAAUUCUUGGUGUAGCGGUGAAAUGCGUAGAUAUCGGGAGGAACACCUGAGGCGAAGGCGGGCUACUGGGCCGAUACUGACGCUGAUGCGCGAAAGCCAGGGGAGCGAACGGG
rnacentral:rRNA from 1 species